AUACCCGCUGAACUUAAGCAUAUCAAUAAGCGGAGGAAAAGAAACCAACAGGGAUUGCCUUAGUAACGGCGAGUGAAGCGGCAACAGCUCAAAUUUGAAAUCUGGCUCUUUUAGAGUCCGAGUUGUAAUUUGCAGAGGACGCUUUGGCUUAGGCCCCGGUCCAAGUUCCUUGGAACAGGACGUCACAGAGGGUGAGAAUCCCGUAUAUGGCCGGUGGCUUCCGCCGUGUGAAGCCCCUUCGACGAGUCGAGUUGUUUGGGAAUGCAGCUCUAAAUGGGAGGUAAAUUUCUUCUAAAGCUAAAUAUUGGCCAGAGACCGAUAGCGCACAAGUAGAGUGAUCGAAAGAUGAAAAGCACUUUGGAAAGAGAGUUAAAAAGCACGUGAAAUUGUUGAAAGGGAAGCGCUUGCGACCAGACUUGUCUUCAGUUGCUCAUCCGGUCCUUCCCCGG
rnacentral:rRNA from 1 species